rnacentral:rRNA from 1 species
GCGGGCCUACGGGGCGCAGCAGUGGGGGAUAUUGCACAAUGGGGGAAACCCUGAUGCAGCGACGCCGCGUGAGUGAAGAAGUAUUUCGGUACGUAAAGCUCUAUCAGCAGGGAAGAAAAAUGACGGUACCUGACUAAGAAGCCCCGGCUAACUACGUGCCAGCAGCCGCGGUAAUACGUAGGGGGCAAGCGUUAUCCGGAUUUACUGGGUGUAAAGGGAGCGUAGACGGCAGCGCAAGUCUGGAGUGAAAUGCCGGGGCCCAACCCCGGAACUGCUCUGGAAACUGUGAAGCUGGAGUGCAGGAG